GAUGUUGAUGAGUAUAUGCAGGCCCAGCUCCUCCUAGCUGCUCUGAACAUUGCUACACAUGUCCUGAAGCCAGGGGGCUGCUUUGUGGCCAAGAUAUUCCGAGGCCGGGAUGUGACGCUCCUCUACAGCCAGCUGCAGGUCUUCUUCUCCAGCGUGCUGUGUGCCAAGCCCAGGAGCAGCCGGAACUCUAGCAUUGAGGCCUUCGCUGUCUGUCAGGGCUAUGACCCUCCCGAGGGCUUCAUCCCGGACCUGAGCAAACCCCUGCUGGACCAUUCUUACGAUUUCAACCAGCUGGAUGGUCCCACCCGCAUCAUUGUGCCUUUUGUGACCUGUGGGGACCUGAGCUCCUAUGAUUCGGACCGCAGUUACCCACUGGACCUAGAGGGCGGCUCAGAGUACAAGUACACUCCACCCACACAGCCCCCCAUCUCGCCACCAUACCAGGAGGCCUGCACGUUGAAGAGGAAGGGGCAGCUGGCCAAGGAGAUCCGCCCCCAGGACUGCCCCAUCAGCAGAGUGGACACGUUUCCCCAGCCCCUGGCCGCCCCUCAGUGCCACACCCUGCUGGCCCCUGAGGUCUGGAAAUGUGACUCUCAGCCUGCCUUGACCCCUUCCCCGUGUGCCUUUUUCUGACCCAAAUCUCAUGGUUUCUGGGGCCAAAAUUCCCUUUCCUGCCUCCCAAUAGCUAUAAAAAAUUGGUAAAGCCAAGCAUAAUGAAUGGAAAAGUUUCGCCAAA
rnacentral:sRNA from 1 species